UUAAUUUUUUAGUGUUAGUUGCUCUCUAACAAUUUCGGAGUCGUUAUCGCAUGCGCAUGUCGCGUUCGCGCCUCCGUCGAAUAAUUUUCUGUGUUCCGCCCGCCUUCGAGUUUUCCAUCGACGUCCUACGCCUGGAAUAAUCGCCAUUCCUGCUUUCGAAUCCGUUGACGAUCCAGUUUAUAAAUCCCAUAAAUACAAACCGAUCCCCAAUUCGAGGGACGAGUGCGCGAGUGUGUCCGGGGGGGAUUCAAAAAUAAUGCCGCUUAAUUAAACAUAUUGACCAGUGGCCGUAAAUAAUGGAAUUUUAAAUUCACCCGUGUUGAAAAGUUCAUUACAUUGUGAGUCCGGGCACACAAAAAUAUUUUUAACUGCAUUUGAAAAAUAAUUCCGGGCCGAUAUUUAAUGACGGCUACCCAACGGAUUUUUAUGAGUUCGACGAUUUCGUUUCAAAUUAUUAAGUGAUUGGGUGAAAUAUUCCUCUGGUCUUAUCACACAGUUCAUAGAAUCAUUAAAGGCGAUUUUGACCAAAAGCGCUACCCAAAUAACUGUAUCAAUAAAAAGCUGUACGCGUCACUGGAAGUGAGCAGACCGGUGGAGUAGAUCCAUCCCCAUUCAGCAGCGGUGCAGACCCACCAAGCACCACCCCAGCAACAA